GCACAUGGGAUGCUGUUUGCAGGUGACCCAUGUCAUGAUACCUGGCUCACUCUCCGUGCCAAGACAAUCUCCCAGCUUCCAAAGGGAGAUCACCUGCUUCAUCGCCGAUUGUCACCAAAGACCGACAUAAUAUCUCAAUGUUCCAUUGCAAUAAUUCAGGGCAGUUAGUCAGUAUCGUCGAGUGUCGGCCGAGUUUGAUCCAUUCCAGGGCUAUGGACGGUCCGUCGAGGACCGUCGACAAACAAGUGCCUGAUAUUAGGGACGGCGCCGCCUCGCCGGCCCCCCAGCGAGCAGCCCCGGACGACGGCGGCGGCGGAGGCGGCCUCUGCCGGACGCCAGAGGCCGCCGAGACGGCAGACGCCCGGCAGGGGUGCCGAGCUAGCCCCUGCCCCGGCGCUGCACUCUCCUCUCCUCCUUCUGUGAUAAGCUCCGACAGCGCGCCGGCCGCCCCGGCCGCCCCUCCGUCC